AACCAGCACCUCAAGUGGUCAGGAUGAUUAUUGGGCCUAAAGCAUCCGUAGCCUGUUCUGUAAGUUUUCGGUUAAAUCCAUAAGCUCAACUUAUGGGCUGCCGAAAAUGCUGCAGAAUUAGGGAGUGGGAGAGGUAGACGGUACUCGGUAGGAAGGGGUAAAAUCCUUUGAUCUAUUGAUGACCACCUGUGGCGAAGGCGGUCUACCAGAACACGUUCGACGGUGAGGGAUGAAAGCUGGGGGAGCAAACGGG
rnacentral:rRNA from 1 species